GCCCGGGUGGUGAAAUUGGUAGACACAAGGGACUUAAAAUCCCUCGGCUUGAAAAGGCUGUGCCGGUUCGAUUCCGGCCCCGGGCACCA
rnacentral:tRNA from 2 species